rnacentral:rRNA from 1 species
CCUACGGGAGGCAGCAGUGGGGAAUAUUGGACAAUGGGGGCAACCCUGAUCCAGCCAUGCCGCGUGAGUGAUGAAGGCCUUCGGGUUGUAAAGCUCUUUUGGCGGGGACGAUGAUGACGGUACCCGCAGAAUAAGCCCCG